rnacentral:lncRNA from 1 species
UUCAAAAUGAUCCUGAAACCUUGGGGGAAUUAUCUGAAUUUUGCUGAAGAAACUCAGGUUCGGGGGUGUGGUCACUUGCUCUAAAGGCUUUGUAACCACUAGGGAGAAAAGAGCUGAGACUCAAACCCAUCUCUGUCUUAUUCUAAAGCCCAUCCCUUUUCUGUAUAGGUGUGAUUUCUGUUGUCCUAUAUAAUGACUGCAUUGUAAGUGAAUAAAUUUUUUUAAAUAGUAUCAUGCUUGGAGCUUCUGAGAAAUUUUUUAUUGCAUUGCAUCUUAUAGGCUUUCCCUCCAGAUCAUUCUGUCAUCCAGGUAGAGGUGGCAGUGGGUGAAUUUUCAUUGUAAUGAAUUAAGUAUAACCAUUACGCUAAUGACACAGGUUUACCUUCUGAUGUAAUUAUGUAUCAGCUUCUAACCUAUUGUGAACAGUUUUCUUUGCUGGUUUCUCACCAGGCUAUGAUUUUGGUAUAAACAAAAGCACACACACAGAAAAUUGUCAUGUUGACCGCAGGUAGAUUUAUAGGUUUUUUUAAUUCUUUUGGUUGCGACUGCAGCAUGCAGAAGUUCUUGGGCAGGGAUCAAACCUGUACCACAGCAGUGCCACCCAAGCCACUGCAUUGACAACACCAGAUCCUCAACCCACUGUGCCACAAGAGAACCCCUUGUAGGCUUUUUAUAAGAGGUUUAUUUAACAGUAAUACCGAAUUUGAUUAUCUGAAGCCUUGUCUUCUGCAGUGUGAAAUAUAGAAUUUUGUCCUCUUUUAGGAUAAAAAUUCUAUUUUUCUAUGCCAACAAAAAGGAUUUAAAAACUAAAGUGAAGUUAAAAACUAGAGUCAGUAUAUUGUCAAAGUAGUGAAUAUGAAAUUAACUGGGUUCAGCAUGUUAUUCUAAACACAUAUUACAUAAUAAUUUAUAGGAGCCUUGAUUAAAAAACUGCAAGAGUGAAUUAAUUUGGUAAUGAACUAGGUUAAUUUGUAGGGAAAAGGCUCAGGUCAGAUUGAAAUUUGGAGCUGUAAGACAGUGACAUUAGUAUGUCAGAAUAGGUAGAAACUUGGAUAGGGCUAAAGUUCAUGUUUUGUCAGAUUGAAUGGUAGCCAAGCAAUUCCAGAAGUGGGCCUAAACUGUCAGGAUAGCUAAGAAAAAAAAAAAAAAAAGGCCAAUUUUUGUCAUUAAAAAUUCUCAUUUGAAGAGAAGUUACAUCCAUUCCUGAGUGAAGAGGUAGAUGGUGAUCCAAAGUGCCCCCAAGGUAACCAGCACACAUUUUUUUUUUCUUUCUAGAAAAGUUGAAAUUUAAUUGUUUUUGUAGAUAAAACUCAGGCUUUGAAAACUGAUAACUUGCUCUCAAAAUUUGUAACCCGGGGUUGGGGGGGGGGAGUGAGACUUGAACCCACCCUCCUCUUAUUCCAAAACAUGUGCUCUUUCCUCUGUAUUAUGUAGGUCUUAAAGCAAAUGCCCAGUCAUGCAGAUCUGUAAGAAAGUGUGGUCUCCAGACCACAGCAUUAAAUGUCACCUGGGAAAUUGUUAAACGUGCAAAUUAUUAGGGAUGCCACAUAACCACUGAAACAGAAACUCUGGGGGUAGGGCCUGUGGUCUGUUUUAAGAGGCCCUCUUGGUAUUUUUGAUGCACACCAAAAAUUUGAGAAUCACUGCCUUAGAAGUCUUUCUUAUUUGACACCGUAAGAACAUAGAUAAGAGGGCCUCUGUACAAGGUAGGACUUUUGCUACUUAGAGCAGCAUUAAAAAUAAACCUAUUGGCUCAGUGGUUAACAAACCUGACUGGUAUCCAUGAGGACAUGGGUUUGAUCCGUUGCCUCACUCAGUGGGUUAAAGAUCCACCAUUGACGUGAGCUGUGGAGUGGAUUGCAGAUACGGCUCAGAUCCCGCGUGGCUGUGACUGUGGCCGGCAGCUGCAGCUCCAACUUGACUCCUAGCCUGGGAACCUCCAUGUGCCUCAGGUGUGGCCCUAAAAAGACAGAAGGCCAAAAAAUAAUAAUAAAAUAAAAUAAAAUAAACCUAUUUUGUGACUAGUUGAUUAUAAUUCAGGUACAGUCUGAAUUGAUAACAUUCCAAUUCCCUGUAGGGAAAAUUUUUAAAAAGCAAUCUGAAUACUGUAUUUAAUCAAAAUUUGGUUUAUCUAGUUUACUGUUUUUAAAAAUAGCUGUCAGCCAUAUGUUUCUAUUUUAGACUUAGCCUUGUUGAGGGAAUUAGAAUUUGGAUAAGAACUACAUAAUAUUAAUGUAUUAUGAAACAUAAAUAUAAAAAACAAACAACUUUUUUUACAUUAAGGACAAGUUACAGUAUUUUAAUGAAAUGUAUGUGAUUUAAAAAAUAAUCUUUUAUUGGCCUUAUAUGUGCUAAUAAAAUAUUUGGACAGUUUAUCAAGAGAUUUGCUAAAAUAGUGUAAGAUGAUUUUACUCUUUUCCAAUGCUUCAGUAAAGAAUCUUUAAAAAGACUGGAUAUUUGAUAAUAUUAAGAAGUUAUUUGUGUGUUUGUGUCUAUGUGUGUAAGAGAGGGGAUGAUACUUUGUGUAUGUUUAAUACGGGAAGUGUUGGUCUUUUAAAGGUAAGACUUAGUUUCAUAUGUAUAUAUUUCAGUGUAUAUCUUGGAUUUGCUUUAAAAUGAUUGGAGUGUGUAUUUAAUGAUAAAAGGAUCCAUUCAAGAAGAGGGUAUUACAAUCAUAAGUAUAUAUGUUCCUAAUAUAGGAAGGAGCACCCAGAUACAUACAGCAAAUACUAACAGACCUAAAAGGAGAAAUUGAUGAGAAUACAAUAAUAGUAGGAGACUUUAACACCCUACUCACAUCAAUGGAGAAGUCCUCUAGACAGAAAAUCAGUAAGGCAACAGAGAUCCUAAAUGACACAAUAGAAAAGAUAGACUUAAUCGACAUCAUACAUUCUUCUCAAGUGCACAUGAAACAUUCUCAAGAAUUGAUCACAUAUUGGGGCACAAAGCUAACCUCAACAAAUUUAAGAGUAUAGAAAUUAUUUCAAGUAUCUUCUCUGACCACAAUGUUCUGAAACUAGAAAUCAGCCACAGGAAAAGAAAUGAGAAAAAAACCGACUACAUGGAGCCUAAAUAACAUGCUACUAAAACCAAUGGUUAAAUGAGGAAAUCAAAAAGGAAAUUAAAAAAUACCUCAAGACAAAUGAUAAUGAAGAGGGAUGCUUCAAAAGCAGCACUUAGAGGGAAGUUCACAGCAAUACAGACCUUCCUCAAAAAACAAGAUACAUCUCAAAUCAACAACCCACCACCUAAAUGAAUUAGAAAAAGACCAAACAAAACCUAAAGUCAUCAGAAGGAAGGAAAUCAUAAAGAUCCGAGGAGAAAUCAAUAAAAUAGAGAUUCAAAAAAAUGAUAGUGGAGUUCCUAUCAUGGCUCAGUGGUUAAUGAAUCCGACUAGGAACCAUGAGGUUGCAGGUUCGAUCCCUGGCCUCGUUCAGUGGGUUAAGGAUCUGGCAUUGCUGUGAGCUGUGGUGUAGGUUGCAGAUGUGGCUCGGAUCCUGCGUUGCUGUGGCUCUGGUGUAGGCUGGCAGCUAUAGCUCCGAUUCGACCCCUAGCCUGGGAACCUCCAUAUGCCGCGGGAGUGACCCUGGAAAAGGCAAAAAGACAAUUGAAAAAAAUCAAUAAAACCAAGACCUGGUUCUUUGAAAAGGUAAACAAAAUUGACAAACCUCUGGCCAAACUCA